UACGUAGGGACCGAGCGUUGUCCGGAAUCAUUGGGCGUAAAGAGCGUGUAGGCGGCUUGCUAAGUCUUGCGUGAAAUCUCGGGGCUCAACCCCGAGCGGUCGUGGGAAACUGGCAGGCUAGAGUGCGGGAGAGGAGAAUGGAAUUCCUGGUGUAGCGGUGAAAUGCGCAGAUAUCGGGAAGAACACCCGUGGCGAAGGCGGUUCUCUGGAACGCAACUGACGCUGAGACGCGAAAGCGUGGGGAGCAAACAGG
rnacentral:rRNA from 1 species